rnacentral:rRNA from 1 species
CCUACGGGUGGCUGCAGUGGGGAAUAUUGGGCAAUGGAGGCAACUCUGACCCAGCAACGCCGCGUGAAUGAUGAAGGUCUUCGGAUUGUAAAGUUCUGUGAUGGGGGGUGAACACAAUGACGGUACCCCAAUAGCAAGCCACGGCUAACUACGUGCCAGCAGCCGCGGUAAUACGUAGGUGGCAAGCGUUAUCCGGAAUGACUGGGCGUAAAGGGUGCGUAGGCGGUCCGGAAAGUCAGCGGUAAAAGCCCGGGGCUCAACCCCGGCGAGCCGUUGAAACUGUCGGACUAGAGACGGCGAGAAGUACGCGGAAUGCGCGGUGUAGCGGUGAAAUGCAUAGAUAUCGCGCAGAACUCCGAUUGCGAAGGCAGCGUACCGGCGCCGGACUGACGCUGAGGCACGAAAGCGUGGGUAUCGAACAGGAUUAGAUACCCCAGUAGUC